GGGCUGCCAAAAGGGCGGACAGGGUUUGAGGAAGGUCUGGGGCGGCCGAGCCCGGCCGGAAGUCGGGUGGGCACGGAAGACGGAGUGGGAGGGGAUUGGCUGAGCCGCGCUGGCAGGCGGGGUGGGCGGCUGCGCAGAGCGGCCCAGGGGGAAGCCGAGGCGGCUGGACCCGCCCGAGAGGCCGGGGCGCGAGAAGCGGGGCAGGGGGGUUGGCAGGUUUGGGGUGUAGAGAGUGGCGUAGGGGACAGGGUCGCCCCCGGGUCCACGGUGCAGCCCCCGGAUGAGGCCGCAGUAUUUUCCUUAUAUGAUCGGGCCCCAUGGCUGAUGGCGCCGCUGGCCCGGAGCCUGAGAGGAUUAUGAAAACGUGUCAGGCGAAAUGGGGCCAGGGACCCGGGGGCUGGGAGGUUAGGGGGAGGCAGUUAGGCUACGAUUUGGGUGACGUUAGGGUGGUCCCUGCAAGCCCUGGUCGAUGAUGACGUGACCACUGCGCAAUCUGAGUUCUGGGAACUAGGUGAUGGAGCGUGUUCUGAGAACGGACUGAGACCGGGCGAGCAGGGGGCGACGCGGGCGGCAAACCCCCAGCGCCAGGGCUCGGAGGCGGGCCAUGCUGCCUCGGGCUUAGUUCGGUGGUUGGGAAGCUGUGGUGGGAGGCUCUGAGGUGUUCUGUGAGCUGUCUGGGAACGCCCGCCCCAAAUCCUGGUGUUCAACGCGUUCGUGGUCCUCUCAUUUUGUUUUUCGUUUUUUUUUUUUUUUUUUUUUUUUUAACCCGACGUUUUUAUUAUGAAAACUUAGAAACUUGAGGGAAAGUGCAGAGACUUCUACGUGAACUACCCGUAUAUUCAUCACCCGUAUUCUACAAGUAUUAACACUUCGCCGUAUUUGCUGCAUCACGUCUUUCCUUUCCUUUUUUUUUUUUUCUUUGUCAGCCUUAGUACACGUCAGGAAUACUUCGGCUCACAUUAAAGUGUUCUGAGUCAUGAAGCCCUGCAGAGGGAGACAGGUGCUGUGCUGAGUGCCAGGCACAGGAAGACCUCCAGGCCUCCAGUCACUUUCGAGGUAUCCUACUGUGGGGAGACCGCUCAGGUUCUGUCUGCUCAGGGGCCCUCAGGGUCAUCGAGGACUGCCUUAUUCCUGGUUCAGUGAACAGAGUCAGAGGUCCCAGAGGUGCCCAGAGACAGCACACCCUCUCCUCAGGGGACACAAAACAGCUCAGGAUGACAUGUGGACAAAACAGAGAUGGCUUCAGGACCGACACCUCUCCACCCUGCCCCUGUUCUGACCUGGGGUCUGAGGUGCUCAGAGGUGGAACACGCUUUGCUGCACCCAAGGAAACGAGGACCUAACUGCUGAAAAACACGGGGCACUUUGGUGGCAUCCGUGCCCUCCAGGGGCCUGGGCUCAUCUCACACUCACCUCGUCCCCGCUGUACUGCUUCAAGCAGUGCAGGAGGCGGCAGGUAUUGGACAACCAGAACGACGUCAUCUCAAAGUCCUCGUUGUGCUUCUGUGAAAAGAGGAAGAUGUGCCUGGGUAUGAAGAGGUAGUUCCCAUCUGUCCUGACGCAUCCACCUUGCCUUCUCUCACCCAGGAGGCCCCAGCCAGGCCUGGCGACAAGCGGACCCUUACUCUUCACGGGCACACGGAAGAGGGCCCUCCCCGCGAGGCUGCCUUCCUGCUCCUCCAGCCCCAGGGAGGACGCACGACCUGGUGCACAUCCAGCGGGGAGUGGCUGGGGUCUAGGGCCACUUGGGAGUCUCACUGGAGAAAACUGGGGUGCAACUGGGCCAUAUAGUACUAGGUCACUGGGCUGAAGGCAGAGCAUGGGAGGACCAACCAUGAAAGGGUGGGUUCUAGAUAAAGCUGGAUCCCAAGGUCCGGAGCAAACAGGAAGUCUUCCUACAGUGUAGCCAAGGGAGACAGAUAAGCCUGACUCCAGCAGCCCUGGGCUCUGCCCUGACAGCUGGGCAAGAUGGCCUGGCAGGUUCUUAACUGUCUGGGGUCCAGCACAGGGGGUGCUGGGGAGCACUCAGUGUAACAUCGUGGGGGUCCUGUUUGUCUAGAGAUCAGGCAGCAUUUCCCUCCAGACCUGGAGAUUCUGGGGAACUUGCAACUGAGGCGACAGUGAGCUGCUGGGUUCAUCCAGCUCCCCACAAGACCAGCACCUGGGGCCUGGACACUGACCUUGAGGACCUUCUUGAUGCCGUUGAUGGUGGAGGUCAGCAGGGAGUGUACCUUGAGGUCGUCAUUCACGUAGUCCGCGUGCCGGAUGCACAUGUAGAGGAUGUAGGCUGGGAGGCAGGGCACCGCGCCCGCCAGCACCUGCGGUUUCAACUCUGCCAACAACAGACAGCAAUGAUUAGCUCAACAGCAGACGCUGCUCGAUGCUCAGGGUUGUAAGAAUCCUGGCCCGUCAUACAGUCUCCCCAGGUUCCUGAAGCUCCUCGGGGUGGGGGUGGGGGGCUGGCAGAGGAGUAGGGGAGAAGAUGCCCUGGAUACACACACAUUCCUUUGGACCCUGUCUACCAGUAUUUCAGAAACGCGUUAAAAAACAACAAACAACAAA